AGAGAACCUAUUACAGAUGCAUAUAUCUUGAAGUGAGAUGUUAUUUCCAGAAUAUUAGAUGCUGAUUUUAUUCUCAUGAUUAAUAUUAUUUUCAUCAAAGGAAAUUUCUGCAAGGAUGUUCUACUGCAGAGAAUUAAAGACUGCCAGUUAGGACAUCUACUUUGAAAGCACCCCAAAACCAGACCCACUCCAUGAAGCCUGGAUCUGUACUGCUGUCUCAGGAAGGUCUGGAGCUUCUGAAUUUGAAGAAAUAAUAAAAACACAGGAGUCCAUGCUAGGAGAAAAGCUGUUCUGUACAGCACAAUAACCCUGUCAGGAAAUAGAAGACAAAGUCCUGCCUGACCUAAAGCUGUGGAAAACCUUGAAAUCACAAGAAAAGGCUCAUUGGCAGAUUCAGAGAAACAAGAGGAUAAACGUAAAACUGAUCUUCCAUCCGCACAAUCACACCUUAGAGGGCCCAAGAGAAAGUUCCAGUCAAAUCCAUGUUCACUCAGGUACCCCUGCCCUGCUCUUUGCAGUGUCUUGCACAAAUAAACUCUCUGAAUCUGAGCUGGACUUCCUCUGUACCUCCCAGAAUCCAACUUCGCAGAGCUUCUGUUUUGCUUUCAGAGGCUGUUCUGGCAGCAGAGAUGGAUGGUAACUUAUAUCCAAAAGUUAAAAGAAUCAAACCUUUUCAAGCCUGCAGAAUUGCAAGACUUAAGAGUUAGGACCCUGCAACUGCUGGUUUAAAAUGUGCUUCCUCACUGAUGUGCUUUAGGCAGCAAUGUUUGGACCUUUGCUGACGUUGGCUGGGUCAGCAGGCAGCUGCUGUGAAUCACCUCUGAGGUGCUCAGUUCUCCCUGUCCACUGAGGGAGCCCAGGCUCAUCUUGAAAUACAUGUAUUUUUGAACCCCACACUUUUCAUAGAUGAAAGUGGUGUGAACAUUCCUGUUUGUGUCAAACUGCACUCCGAAUGCAUAUAUUGACUUUACUGCAGUAGCUUGGGCUUUCCACCACUCAAUGAGACCUUGGUGUCCUAUGAGUUUCAUGCAGAUGAACAUCCAAAUCAUUGUGCAGCAUCGUGUCCGUGAACUUCCAGAGUUUGCAUUAAAAACUGACAGAACAUCAGAGUGCCAGAAGCUUCUCAUAUUGUGGCUCUGAAGGUCUGAGUAACACAGUGUCCAAAACAGAGCUAAAAGAAAACAGGCUACAAAGAAGAAAAGAAAAGGAAGGCUGCUUUGAUUCUGGAAGAUACAACCAUUCAGAUGCCUGAGCAACCUAAGACAAACCAAGCAAAGCCACAGGAAGAAUUAAAGAAGUAAACAAACUCAAAAAGAGAUAGUUACGGACAGAAGACAACACAGCUGUACUAAGUAGUUAAAUUCUACUCUUAACCCAGUAUCCUUUCUGCAACACAGUACAAAACCAGUUGCCAAGGCAGGAUUCUGCAAAUAAGUUAAAAGAGGGGGCUGACCAAUCCAGCGGAUUACUCCAUAAAACGGAGGAUUUUCUUUAACUUCAGCCAAGGAACCUGCUUCAAGACCAUGUGAGUUCCCGACUGGGCCUGCUGUUGAUGGACUCUCCUGGUUAGCCGUAGUAU